rnacentral:rRNA from 1 species
AGGGUUUGAUUCUGGCUCAGGAUAAACGCUGGCGGCGCACAUAAGACAUGCAAGUCGAACGGACCGAAGUUUUUUGAUAACAAAGAAUGGAAGUUAGUGGCGGACUGGUGAGUAACGCGUAAGUGACCUACCUAUCAGAGGGGAAUAACAGUGAGAAAUCAAUGCUAAUACCGCAUAUGCUCACAGUACUGCAUGGUACAGUGAGGAAAGGAGCAAUCCGCUGAUAGAUGGGCUUGCGUCUGAUUAGCUAGUUGGUGGGGUAAAGGCUUACCAAGGCAACGAUCAGUAGCCGAACUGAGAGGUUAAACGGCCACAUUGGGACUGAGAUACGGCCCAG